CCUACGGGGGGCAGCAGUGGGGAAUUUUGGACAAUGGGCGCAAGCCUGAUCCAGCCAUGCCGCGUGCAGGAUGAAGGCCUUCGGGUUGUAAACUGCUUUUGUACGGAACGAAAAGACUCUGGUUAAUACCUGGGGUCCAUGACGGUACCGUAAGAAUAAGCACCGGCUAACUACGUGCCAGCAGCCGCGGUAAUACGUAGGGUGCGAGCGUUAAUCGGAAUUACUGGGCGUAAAGCGUGCGCAGGCGGUUAUGUAAGACAGAUGUGAAAUCCCCGGGCUCAACCUGGGAACUGCAUUUGUGACUGCAUAGCUAGAGUACGGCAGAGGGGGAUGGAAUUCCGCGUGUAGCAGUGAAAUGCGUAGAUAUGCGGAGGAACACCGAUGGCGAAGGCAAUCCCCUGGGCCUGUACUGACGCUCAUGCACGAAAGCGUGGGGAGCAAACAGGAUUAGAUACCCCAGUAGUC
rnacentral:rRNA from 1 species